AACGAACGCUGGCGGCAGGCUUAACACAUGCAAGUCGAGCGCCCCGCAAGGGGAGCGGCAGACGGGUGAGUAACGCGUGGGAAUCUACCCAUCUCUACGGAAUAACGCAUGGAAACGUGUGCUAAUACCGUAUACGUCCUUCGGGAGAAAGAUUUAUCGGAGAUGGAUGAGCCCGCGUUGGAUUAGCUAGUUGGUGGGGUAAAGGCCUACCAAGGCGACGAUCCAUAGCUGGUCUGGGAGGAUGAUCAGCCUCACUGGGACUGAGACACGGCCCAGACUCCUACGGGAGGCAGCAGUGGGGAAUAUUGGACAAUGGGCGCAAGCCUGAUCCAGCCAUGCCGCGUGAGUGAUGAAGGCCCUAGGGUUGUAAAGCUCUUUCACCGGUGAAGAUAAUGACGGUAACCGGAGAAGAAGCCCCGGCUAACUUCGUGCCAGCAGCCGCCGUAAUAC
rnacentral:rRNA from 1 species